rnacentral:rRNA from 1 species
GACGUAGGGUGCGAGCGUUGUCCGGAUUUAUUGGGCGUAAAGAGCUCGUAGGCGGCUCGUCGCGUCGACCGUGAAAACCCGCGGCUUAACUGCGGGCUUGCGGUUGAUACGGGCGGGCUAGAGUUCGGUAGGGGAGACUGGAAUUCCUGUGUAGCGGUGAAAUGACGCAGAUAUCAGGAGGAACACCGGUGGCGAAGGCGGGGUCUCUGGGCCGAUACUGACGCUGAGGAGCGAAAGCGUGGGGAGCGAACAGG